GGGGGCUGCAGCCACCAAGGAGGAAACGUCUGGCAGCCACGUGCAGGAGGGCCAGCCCCCAGGGACCAGGCCUCCGUCCCCAGCACCCAUCCUGCCUGCUGCCUGAGGUCCAGAUGAGGGUGAGGCUGUUGGGGACAGGGUAGGCGUGGUCCCGCCAGGCCCCUUGGCUAAGUGACUGCCCGGGCAGGAGCGGGCACCAUGUUCUUUUCUGAUGUCUGGGCCUUCUGUGGCCAGAAGCCCGGCUGUGGGAUCUGUGUCAGGGACUCCCAUAAACCUCCCCGCUCGCGUUCCGGCGACGCUCUCUGUUUCCUGCUGGCAGAGAAUCCAGCUCCAACGACAAGGCACUUUAUGCUCUGGCGCAUGUGUCACAGAUCUCGUGGCCAAGACCCGUGUCACCAGUUUGGAUCACCACCUACGACUCCAGUCCAGCAUGUGCUGAGUCACAGGCUCAUUUCUGACUGUUGGACUUUUGUUUGCAGCUCGCUGUCGGUGGUAUUUCACACUUUGAAGAUAUAUUUCUGUACGUAUUUUUCUGGUAACCUACAGAUACUAUGAUAUAGGAAAUCAGAAGUAGAUUAACUUUACGAGGUUGAUGUUAAAUUUUGAUGCAUUCUACUGAACCUCUUUCCAAAUGCUGCACCUGUCCCAUGUGCCCCUGUCCCUGCUGCGGGGGAACAUCUCCUGCUCCUCACGUCCUUCAGUCUGCAUGUUUAAUUAUCUUCCAAAGCAAAUAAAUUGCCAAAGAAAAGACAUCAGCAGGUGGCUCUGGUGUCAGCAGCCCUCAGGUGCUGGCAGGACUGUGUCCUUCUGGAAGCUGGUGCUCCCUGUCCCCCAGGCUGCCUGGGCUGGCCAGCUCUGGUUUCUUCCUCCGUCUCAGAGCAGCUGUGUGGCACUGUUGAGUAUCCCACCCUCUCUGUGCUUUCUACUUCCAUCAUCAAUCUCCUCUCUCCGACACAUCUGCCCCUUUUCUGAACACGGAGGUGAUCACAAAGAGGUCGCGUCCGGAGAUCCAGGACCAUCCUCGGUCUUGAGGGCCUCAGUCACACCUGCAAGAUCCCCUUUUCCACGUGAGGCUGCACAACCUCAGGUCUGGGGACUGGGACUUCUUGGUGGGGGUAUCACUCUACCUGCCACAUCAGCAAGGUCACCUGGGACCCUCAGUGUGACCUGUUUGCUCUUUUUUAACCCAGAUGCAAUGCUUUUCCAAGACUCGGCAGCCCUAUGGAUGACGUGCACGGGUUAGGGUUUGGCGGGGUUUGCUACACGGGAAACCAAACGCUGCAUAGGUUUCCCUCAAGAGCAAGGUCCAGCUGACCACAGCCUUCAAGUCACGGCCACGCUCCUGCCGCUUCUCCUGGGCUCCUCCUGUUGGACUGGUCCCUGUUCAUCCUCUGACCCAUUCCCGCUUCCUGGAGCCGAUGCCCUGCCGCUGGGCGCCUGUUCCGGCACGGCGGUCGGCGUGUCAGAAGACACCUCCUCGGCCUUCCCACCCAGAGCUGCGUGGUGACCCCUCCUUUGUCCCCUCCCUGUGCCUUGGCUCUCGCUGCUCCAAAACACUCCCCUGGGCCUCUGCUGCAGGCCCUGGGAAGGCCCCGGCGUCUGGCGUUGCGUCAGGUUUCUCCUGGAAAUGGGAUGUCUCCCCCGUUAUGCACUUGAAUCAGUCGUCUCCGACUUCACGUGGGCUGGCUUUUGGGUAGACUUAUUGUAUGUGCAGCGAACCCACUUUACGUGGAGGCCGACCUUAGCUGUUCAUUCCCAGCCUCUUGCUCUCUGACGUAGUUCCUUCCGUGUUCCCAGGACCAGGGACCGCGAGCCGGGCAGCCUGACCCGCUGACCGUGCUUCCUCAGAGCCCUGGAGGCAGGUCCAGGGCAGAGGUCAGCAGGGAAGUUCCUUCUGUGGCCGGCAGGAGACUCUCUUCUGGCCUCUGGGCGCUGUGUGGCCUGAGGGAGCUUCAUCCCGUCUCUGUUGCCAUCUUCUUGCGGUGCUCUCCCUGAGUGGCUCUGUGUCCAGUCUCCCAUCCGUAAAUGACACAGAUCAUAUUGAUCAGGGACCCCUUGACUCAUCUUAAAUUGAUCAUUUGCAAAGAUUUCCAGAUGAGGUCACUGUCUGAGGUAUGGGUUGGGGAUUUCAACGCACUGAUUUGGGGGUGAUAUGGUUAAACCUAGACUACUUUCGACUUAUAACUUCAAUUGACUCUUUGUUUCAUCACUUUAUCUUGAUCAAUAAGCUGGUUAAUAAUAGUUGUGAUCAUAGCAAUCGUUGUAUUAUUUGGGGAAUUAAUGGGACUGAUUCAGUAUAAAGUGUGACAUUAGCUAUUGCUUUGGGAGAGAUGGAUUCUGGAGACUCGGGAGGGUAGCAAGUCUGAAGCCAGCCAGGGUGAGUUAGCAAGGCCCUAAGCAACUUAGGGAGAGCUGUCCCCAAAUAAAAAGAGCUGGGGAUGUGGCUCAGUGGGGAAGCAUCCUGAGUCCUGGGUUCAAUCCCCAGCACUGAGAGAGAGAGGGACAGAGGGACAGAGAGAAAUCUAUUCCAUCUGACAGAGAUAUACUCCUAAUCAAUUAAGAGGUUUUCUUUUCAUUUUAACCAGCAAUGAAGUUUUUAGUUAAUGUAUUUCCAAUAUCCGCAGAGUUUAUGAUUGAUUUUUGAUCUAUGUUAAAUCAUAGUAACACACAACUUAAACUACAACUAAUAUCAUGAAUGAAAAUGUCAGUUGGGAUUGAUGUGAUGCGUUUUUCCAUAUAAUGCCAAAUACAUAUUCACAGUAUUUUUCUCAAAUUUGUUGCCUCUAUAUUGAUAAGUAAAACUGACUUGUAGGA